rnacentral:lncRNA from 1 species
CCGUGGCCCUGUAGCCUCUAAGAGCGAUGUUAGAGGGAGGUCCUGGGUGAGGACAUGGUACAGAGCACAGUCCCCCAAGGCCUGGUCCCAAGACCACUGAAUGCAGAAAGAAAAAGUGUUUCAACAAACAGUGCUGGGACAACUGGAUAUCCACAUGCAAAUAAAGGAAGGUGAACCCCCACCACCCACCAUGAGGCCCAGAGGAGGGUGAGGCCCCCACCUCUGAGGCCUCAGUUUCCUCAUCUGUAAAGGGGGCUCCCCAUGUUAACACCCUCCUCGUGGGGUCUUCAGGAAGCUCAAUGAGGUCCCCUAAGUGGCAGCUGUCACCAUCCUGUCACUCAGGAGGCUGACCAGCAAGUCCAAUGACACGACAGGUCACAGAGGCCAUGGAGGAACAGGUGCCCACACUGAUCUAUGCCCCAGUGGCCUGGCAGCACCACUGGGAAGGACGGUUUGGUAACAUCUCUUCUUUCAAAAGCACCUGCCCCUUCUUGCCAGCUAGGCUGGGGGCUGUAAUCUGAGGGCUGCCUGGACAGUAGGGAGUGUAUUCCGGAGGGGAGCAGGGGUGGCCUCUGCCCAACACCCAGGGGUAAUGCCCACCUGUG